GAAAUGCGAUACGUAGUGUGAAUUGCAGAAUUCCGUGAACCAUCGAAUUUUUGAACGCAUAUUGCGGUCAAGGCCUCGGCUAAGACCAUGUCUGCCUCAGCGUCGGGUUAAUCGUCCCAUCACAUUUAAUUUAUUAAAUGCACAUAUGGGGAUCAAUCGCAGUCUGGGUGCUUCAUGUACCCAGUCUGCCCAAGUAUUUAUUAGGUGCUUCCUUGCAUGAGUGCAUUACUUAAUCGUUCUGCAUUCAACACAAGCCGCACUCGAGUAUUCAUCUUGUAUGUCUCUCGAAUCUGUGGUUUGGGCAACGAACUCUGGUCGUGAUUUAUCACUCCAGCCCCCCCCUAUAUUUAAUUGGAAACCCAACACUUCUCGACCUGAGCUCAGGCA
rnacentral:rRNA from 1 species